UACAGAGGGGGCAAGCGUUAUUCGGAAUUAUUGGGCGUAAAGGGCGCGUAGGCGGCUUGGCAAGUGGAUGGUGAAAUCCCUCGGCUUAACCGAGGAACUGCCGUCCAAACUGCUUUGCUUGAGACCGGGAGAGGUGAGUGGAAUUCCCAGUGUAGCGGUGAAAUGCGUAGAUAUUGGGAGGAACACCAGUGGCGAAGGCGGCUCACUGGCCCGGUACUGACGCUGAGGUGCGAAAGCGUGGGGAGCAAACAGG
rnacentral:rRNA from 1 species